rnacentral:rRNA from 1 species
GCGUCAUCGACGAGAAGGAGUUCCUCGCCAUCAUGUCUAAAGGGGCGGACGCGGGACUCGUGGAGGACUGACUGUGCAUUAGCUGUAAUAAUCAUACACCUUUCAAGACGUACAAGGCUACGUUUUUUUAAUCCCCCCCCCCUUUCAGCCAUCAGGCACGCCUCCUUGCAUUCACCGAAUCCAACAAGUCAAUGGCCGGCGCCACCUUCUCCUCCUUGGUCCUCCUGUCGUAGGUUCCUUUCUGCAUCGCCAGCGAGUGACCCAUAUAUAUAGCCAGCGCCUCCAGCUCUCUCUCGCUCGCGUCCGUGCCCCGCAGGUGAGUGAUGAUCAUGUCGCGGACCAGAUGCGGGUUGACCCGCUUACCCGUCAGGCGGUAGCUGGUGCUGGUCAGGAUCCGGUGCACGUCCUUGUCCCGAAGCGGCGCACCCGAGCGCGUGCUGAACAGCAGACCGUGGGCGGGUUCGCACAGGUGGUGCCUGUGGUUCGCGACGAAGUCCUCGAGCGCGGGGUAAAACUUUGGGUGGAUGACCAUGGGAGGUCGGACUCCGUAGUCGCGACCCGUCUUGUAAUCGUCGGGGCCGUGCCGAAUCACCCACCGAUACUCACCCUCCUUAUCCGACGACCGGGAUUCUCCUUCACCCGCUGACUCUUUACCGCCCUUCACCACGCGCUCCUUGAACAGCGUUCGGCCAAUCUCCAGCUCCCGCACGGUGCGUUGCCUGUCCGGAACGCACGACAGGAUCCCGAAGAUGAGGUACCGCUGCACGCUCCACGCCACCGCGCUCGGAGAUCUGCGUCGCCCGUCCUUAUCCAGCGCCGCGCACUCCUCCCGCAACGCGUCAACCACGCCGAGGUACUGCGACCAGUCCAGCCACUUGAGACGCGCGUCCGCGACCGGCGACUCGCGCUCGGCCCGGCGCCCGGUUUCCUUUGAGAUUUUUCGCAGCUGCUGGACCAAGCCGAGCUUCGCGUAGGGCUUGUCGAGUCCGUCGCCGGACCCCACGUCGUCCUCGUCCCCGCCGUGCACGAAUUUCGCCGCCGCGAUGAACGCCCUGAGCGCCACGAGCUCGUAAUUCGCGCUGCACUUGCGCUCGUUGACCAGCCACUGGAUGUGCUCAAACGCCAGCUGAGCGCCUCGCCUGUCGGGCGUGGGGAACGCCGCCCUGAGGCUGGUGAGCUUCUCGACGGGGAAGUUGGGCUUGACGUGCGAUCGCAUCCACCCCAAUAGGCCACGCAGGUGGUCCUCGUACUUCAUCGCGGUGACCUCCUUUAUGGGCUCGUCCGCGCCGCCGAGCCUGCGCACGGUGAGAAAACGCCGCAGCGCGUCGAGCUCGUCAAUCAACGACGCCGGCAUCUCGUCGCGGCGCAGGCGGUAGUCCGUCAUGGAGGUCUUCUCGGGCCUGCGCGUCGCGCGGAUUUUCGUGACGUUCCCGUGGAGCUCGACGCGCAUCGGCGCGCACCUCGUGUUACGCGGCGAGUCCGUCGUCGUUCGCGUGGACGUCGCCGCCUCCGCCUCCUUCGCCAAUCUCGUCUCCUCGCGCCGCGCAGCCUCCUCGGCCAUCUCGCGUAGCGUCGGGAACAUCGAUUUGUGCGCCGGGCGCUUGGAUUCAAUCGGUGUCGGCUUGGUUACUGCCGCGAUGGCGUCGUCGAUCGCCAUUCCAGCUCCGGACAGCCGCUUACGCAUCGCGAUGGCCAGCCUGAGCGGCACGCCAAUUUCCAUGGCUUCCUUCUCCGAGAACGUCGCGAGGUCGUCCGGUCGGCGGUACUUGUUGACCCUGA